rnacentral:rRNA from 1 species
AUGGCAUAACGAGGGCUUAACUGUCUCCUUUUUCCAGUCAAUGAAAUUGAUUUCCCCGUGCAGAAGCGGGGAUAAAUACAUAAGACGAGAAGACCCUAUGGAGCUUUAGACACUAAAAUGGCCCAUGUCAAUAACCCCAAGAAAAAGGAAAAAACCAAAUGGGACCCACCUUGAUGUCUUUGGUUGGGGCGACCGCGGGGAAAUAAAUAACCCCCACGUGGAGUGGGAGCACCUCCUCCUAAAACUAAGAGUGACAACUCUAAUCAACAGAAAUUCUGACCAGAAAGAUCCGGCAAUGCCGAUCAACGGACCUAGUUACCCUAGGGAUAACAGCGCAAUCCUCUUUUAGAGCCCAUAUCGACAAGAGGGUUUACGACCUCGAUGUUGGAUCAGGACAUCCUAAUGGUGCAGCCGCUAUUA